rnacentral:rRNA from 1 species
CAGCCGCCACGGGAAUACGAAGGGGGCUAGCGUUGUUCGGAAUUACUGGGCGUAAAGCGCAUGUAGGCGGAUAUUUAAGUCAGGGGUGAAAUCCCGCAGCUCAACUGCGGAACUGCCUUUGAUACUGGGUAUCUUGAGUAUGGAAGAGGUGAGUGGAAUUCCGAGUGUAGAGGUGAAAUUCGUAGAUAUUCGGAGGAACACCAGUGGCGAAGGCGGCUCACUGGUCCAUUACUGACGCUGAUGCACGAAAGCUAGGGGAGCAAACAGGAUUAGAUACCCGCGUAGUCCCUGUCUCUUAUAA